CCUACGGGAGGCAGCAGUGGGGAAUAUUGCACAAUGGGCGGAAGCCUGAUGCAGCGACGCCGCGUGAGGGAUGAAGGCCUUCGGGUUGUAAACCUCUUUCAGCAGGGACGAAGCGUGAGUGACGGUACCUGCAGAAGAAGCACCGGCUAACUACGUGCCAGCAGCCGCGGUAAUACGUAGGGUGCGAGCGUUGUCCGGAAUUACUGGGCGUAAAGAGUUCGUAGGCGGUUUGUCGCGUCGUUUGUGAAAACCCGGGGCUCAACUUCGGGCUUGCAGGCGAUACGGGCAGACUUGAGUGUUUCAGGGGAGACUGGAAUUCCUGGUGUAGCGGUGAAAUGCGCAGAUAUCAGGAGGAACACCGGUGGCGAAGGCGGGUCUCUGGGAAACAACUGACGCUGAGGAACGAAAGCGUGGGUAGCAAACAGGAUUAGAUACCCUGGUAGUCCACGCCGUAAACGGUGGCGCUAGGUGUGGGUUCCUUCCACGGGAUCUGUGCCGUAGCUAACGCAUUAAGCGCCCGCCUGGGGAGUACGGCCGCAAGGCUAAACUUAAGGAAUUGACGG
rnacentral:rRNA from 1 species